rnacentral:rRNA from 1 species
UACGUAGGGUGCGAGCGUUGUCCGGAAUUACUGGGCGUAAAGGGCUCGUAGGCGGCCAACUAAGUCAGACGUGAAAUCCCUCGGCUUAACCUGGGAACUGCAUUCGAGACUGCAUUGCUAGAGUAUGGGAGAGGGAAGUGGAAUUUCCGGUGUAGCGGUGAAAUGCGUAGAUAUCGGAAGGAACAUCAGUGGCGAAAGCGACUUCCUGGACCAAUACUGACGCUCAUGUGCGAAAGCGUGGGGAGCAAACAGG